GAUGAAGCUUCUUUCCCGAGAUGUUCAAACGACUUCCUUAUCUUAUCUAUCUUGUCUUUCUCAGUGAGCGGCCAUGAAGUUCAGUCUUUAUCUAGAUCCGCUUUAAUCUAUUAAUUAUUAAUACAUCAAAUCAUUUUUAUUUCCCAGAUAAACUUGUUUCAUAACUUCAUACCGUAUGGGACGCAUUUUUUCCCGGAAUAGACACGGUCUCAAGUCUAUUCUGGAUGAGGAGAGAGAGGAGGGGGGUCCUACCUCUAAAACCAGUCUGAUUGGGGAACACGGCUGCCAGACCAAAGCUAAGAGCCCAGAGCAACAGGAGAGGGCAGACUCCCCUGGACCCAUUUGUGUCUCCAUGAAG